UACGGCGGUCACAGCGUGGGGGAAACGCCCGGUCCCAUUCCGAACCCGGAAGCUAAGACCCACAGCGCCGAUGGUACUGCACCCGGGAGGGUGUGGGAGAGUAGGACACCGCCGGAC
rnacentral:rRNA from 2 species